ACAAUUAACCAUUUAUUAUCAAUAUGCAAACGAGGCACAGAUUGCCAAGGUAUCUAACUGAAACCUAUUUUACGAACAUCGUUAAGUUAUAACGGGGAGCCGGUUUUCGAAUCAAAACGUUAUUGGACCUAAAACUGAUUUAUUGUCCUUUUGCUUAAUUUAAACUACACGUGAUGCCAGUAUCACAUUGCAGCGUGCAAUAUUCGAGCACUAUUGAAUUAUCCAUUCCGUUUGUAUCACUGAUAGAGAAUUCGUUGUACCGGACAGUGUUAAUAACGCGUCAUUUUGUUACUGGACCAGGUAUGAUGCUAUUAUUCACGUUAAUUAUACAAAUGAUACUAUAUUUGUAAUUUGGAAUUGAUGUUUGAGAAAUACGUAAAAAUAAUACUGUAUGAGCACGCUGUAUAAUAAAGA
rnacentral:misc_RNA from 1 species